AACGGCCAUACCAUGCUGAAUAUACCGGUUCUCGUUCAGAUCACCGAAGUCAAGCAUCAUUGGGCGCGGUCAGUACUUGGGAGGGUGACCACCCGGGAACACCGCGUGCCGUUG
rnacentral:rRNA from 1 species